GAUUGGUNAUGGACGAAAGUCUGAACCAGCCAUGCCGCGUGGAGGAUGAAGGUCCUCUGGAUUGUAAACUUCUUUUAUUUGGGACGAAAAAAGAUCAUUCUUGAUCACUUGACGGUACCAGAUGAAUAAGCACCGGCUAACUCCGUGCCAGCAGCCGCGGUAAUACGGAGGGUGCAAGCGUUAUCCGGAUUUACUGGGUUUAAAGGGUGCGCAGGCGGAUAUGUAAGUCAGUGGUGAAAUCUCUAGGCUUAACCUGGAAAUUGCCAUUGAUACUAUAUGUCUUGAAUGCUGUGGAGGUAAGCGGAAUAUGUCAUGUAGCGGUGAAAUGCUUAGAUAUGACAUAGAACACCUAUUGCGAAGGCAGCUUACUACGCAGAUAUUGACGCUCAUGCACGAAAGCGUGGGGAUCAAACAGGAUUAGAUACCCUGGUAGUCCACGCCCUAAACGAUGAUUACUCGACAUACGCGAUACACUGUGUGUGUCUGAGCGAAAGCAUUAAGUAAUCCACCUGGGAAGUACGACCGCAAGGUUGAAACUCAAAAAAAUUGACGGA
rnacentral:rRNA from 1 species